rnacentral:rRNA from 1 species
UAACCUGCCCAAGAGAUCGGGAUAACACCUGGAAACAGAUGCUAAUACCGGAUAACAACAGAUGAUGCCUAUCAAACUGUUUAAAAGAUGGUUCUGCUAUCACUCUUGGAUGGACCUGCGGUGCAUUAGCUAGUUGGUAGGGUAACGGCCUACCAAGGCGAUGAUGCAUAGCCGAGUUGAGAGACUGAUCGGCCACAUUGGGACUGAGACACGGCCCAAACUCCUACGGAGGCAGCAGCC